AGCGGGGUGGAGCAGAAGGUAGCUCGCUGGGCUCAUAACCCAGAGGUCGGUGGUUCGAGUCCGCCUCCCGCAA
rnacentral:tRNA from 1 species